rnacentral:rRNA from 1 species
AUUGAACGCUGGCGGCAGGCCUAACACAUGCAAGUCGAGCGAGCGGCGGACGGGUGAGUAAUGUGUGGGGACCUGCCCGUUAGAGAGGGCUAACUACUGGAAACGGUAGCUAAUCACGCGUACUAUCGGAUUUAGCCAGAUGGGAUUAGCUAGUUGGUGAGGUAAAGGCCCACCAAGCCGACGAUCUCUAGCUGGUCUGAGAGGAUGACCAGCCACACUGGGACUGAGACACGGCCCAGACUCCUACGGGAGGCAGCAGUGGGGAAUAUUGGGCAAUGGGGGAAAGCCUGACGCAGCCAUGCCGCGUGAGUGAAGAAGGCCUUCGGAUUGUAAAGUUCUUUCGGUAGCGAGGCGUUAACUACAGAAGAAGCACCGGCUAACUCCGUGCCAGCAGCCGCGGUAAUUC